UACGAAGGGGGCUAGCGUUGCUCGGAAUCACUGGGCGUAAAGGGUGCGUAGGCGGGUUUUUAAGCAGAGGUGAAAUCCUGGAGCUCAACUCCAGAACUGCCUUUGAUACUGAGAAUCUUGAGUUCGGGAGAGGUGAGUGGAACUGCGAGUGUAGAGGUGAAAUUCGUAGAUAUUCGCAAGAACACCAGUGGCGAAGGCGGCCCCCUGGGCCCGCGCCUGACGCUGAGACGCGAAAGCGCGGGGAGCGAACGGG
rnacentral:rRNA from 1 species